rnacentral:rRNA from 1 species
AGCGAACGCUGGCGGCAGGCCUAAUACAUGCAAGUCGAGCGGCCCUUCGGGGCAGCGGCGGACGGGUGAGUAACGCGUGGGAAUAUGCCCUUUGGUACGGAACAACACAGGGAAACUUGUGCUAAUACCGUAUGUGCCCUUCGGGGGAAAGAUUUAUCGCCAUUGGAGUAGCCCGCGUUGGAUUAGCUAGUUGGUGGGGUAAAGGCCCACCAAGGCUACGAUCCAUAGCUGGUCUGAGAGGAUGAUCAGCCACACUGGGACUGAGACACGGCCCAGACUCCUACGGGAGGCAGCAGUAGGGAAUCUUGCGCAAUGGGCGAAAGCCUGACGCAGCCAUGCCGCGUGAAUGAUGAAGGUCUUAGGAUUGUAAAAUUCUUUCACCGGGGAAGAUAAUGACGGUACCCGGAGAAGAAGCCCCGGCUAACUUCGUGCCAGCCGCCGCAGUAAGAC